GCCCACUCCCCCUGCUUGUGUUCCUGCUCUCGCUGUCUCUGUCUCUGUCAAAUAAAUAAAUAAAUUUAAAAAGAAAAAGAAAAUGUAUCUGAAGUCUGGUGUGGCAGCCACAAUAGCCCCCAGCAAUCGACGCCCUGGCGGUCAGGUCCUUGGGUAAUCUCUUCCCAUGUUAAAUAGGGCUGACCUGGGGGUGACCAGUAGGAUAUGGCAGGAGAGACGGCAUAUGAUUCUUGAGGCUCUGUUGUAAAUGACAUCACAGCUUCAGCCUUCUCUCCUGGGUCACUUACUCUGGGGAAACCAGCCACCGUGUUGUGAGGACACACAAACAGCCCUACAGAGAGGCCUGUGAGAUAAGAAACUGAGGUCACCUGCCAACCAUCAGCGUGAGUGAGCCACCUCCUAGUCCAGCCUCCAAGUGACUGUAAUCCCAACGGACAUGUUGACCACAACCUCAUGAGACAUCCUGAGUCAGAACCCCCAGCUGAGCUGCCCUGAGAUUUCUGAUCCACAGGAGCUGUGAGAGAAGAAAUGUCUAUUAUUUUCAGCUGCUAAGUUUGGGGUCCUCUGUGGCCUAGCAAUAGAUAACUAAUAACUGGGGAUGAGAAUGUGCUGGCAUGGAACAUUUUCAGAAAGCAGUCACAAAGGAGACUACAAGGGUAUAUCCUGCUUCAUCAUCAUGAUGGACAAAUUAAGUUUACAAUUCCUCUGACAGAAAAUACCGGGACUGCUGAGUGCCCCUCCUAAGGCUAGUGAGAGGUCCACCUUUUCUUCUCCUGAGGAGGGACGUGAUUUUACCUUUUUGAAAUGAUAUUUGUGCAGCUCGUUGGUCCCCACGGAAUCUACAAAGUCUCUCACACCUUCCAUCCCCCCUGCCCCCCAAUCUGUUCAGGUUGCACCCACAACCGCAGC